rnacentral:rRNA from 1 species
CGCGUAGGCGGGCCAGCCAGUCCGGGGUGAAAUCUUUCGGCUCAACCGGAAAAGUGCCUUGGAUACUGCUGGUCUGGAGUGAGGUAGGGGCCGCGGGAACUUCCGGUGGAGCGGUGAAAUGCGUUGAUAUCGGAAGGAACGCCGGUGGCGAAAGCGCGCGGCUGGCCCUCAACUGACGCUGAGGCGCGAAAGCUAGGGGAGCAAACG